GAUGAACGCUGGCGGCGUGCCUAAUACAUGCAAGUCGAGCGAACAGAUGAGGAGCUUGCUCCUCUGACGUUAGCGGCGGACGGGUGAGUAACACGUGGAUAACCUACCUAUAAGACUGGGAUAACUUCGGGAAACCGGAGCUAAUACCGGAUAAUAUAUUGAACCGCAUGGUUCAAUAGUGAAAGACGGUUUUGCUGUCACUUAUAGAUGGAUCCGCGCCGCAUUAGCUAGUUGGUAAGGUAACGGCUUACCAAGGCAACGAUGCGUAGCCGACCUGAGAGGGUGAUCGGCCACACUGUAACUGAGCCACGGUCCAGACUCCUACGGGAGGCAGCAGUAGGGAAUCUUCCGCAAUGGGCGAAAGCCUGACGGAGCAACGCCGCGUGAGUGAUGAAGGUCUUCGGAUCGUAAAACUCUGUUAUUAGGGAAGAACAAAUGUGUAAGUAACUAUGCACGUCUUGACGGUACCUAAUCAGAAAGCCACGGCUAACUACGUG
rnacentral:rRNA from 1 species